rnacentral:misc_RNA from 1 species
GAAAUGCGAUAAGUAAUGUGAAUUGCAGAAUUCAGUGAAUCAUCGAAUCUUUGAACGCACAUUGCGCCCGCCAGUAUUCUGGCGGGCAUGCCUGUCCGAGCGUCAUUUCAACCAUCAAGCCCCCGGGCUUGUGUUGGGGACCUGCGGCUGCCCGCAGGCCCUGAAAACCAGUGGCGGGCUCGCUGUCACACCGAGCGUAGUAGCAAUCACCUCGCUCAGGGCGUGCUGCGGGUUCCGGCCGUUAAACAGCCUUACAAAACCCAAGGUUGACCUCGGAUCAGGUAGGAAGACCCGCUGAACUUAAGCAUAUCAAUAAGCGGAGGACUGUCUCCU